rfam:Gossypium raimondii Chr04_contig_1235, whole genome shotgun sequence.
AGUUAAGAUUUUCAUCCAUUUUUAUUGUUAAAAAUUAACUUUUCUGAUGGAGUAAUCUUAUUGUUACACAUGACGUGUCACGUGUACCUCAUGUCAAUGUAUAAGAAUUAAUUUUUAACCGUAGAAAUGAAUGAAUUUUCGAAUU